rnacentral:rRNA from 1 species
AUUGAACGCUGGCGGCAGGCAUAACACAUGCAAGUCGAGCGGAGCGGCGGACGGGUGAGAAAUGCCUAGGAAUCUGCUUGGUAGUGGGGGAUAACGCAGGGAAACUUACGCCAAUACCGCAUAAGAUUGAAUGCGCCGAUGUCGGAUUAGCUAGUUGGCGGGGUAAAGGCCCACCACGGCGACCAUCCGUAGCUGGUCUGAGAGGAUGCUCAACCACACUGGAACUGAGACACGGUCCAGACGCCUACGGGAGGCAGCAGUGGGGAAUAUUGGACAAUGGGCGAAAGCCUGAUCCAGCCAUGCCGCGUGUGUGAAGAAGUUCUUCGGAUUGUAAAGCACUUUAAGUUGGGAGGCGUUGCCAACAGAAUAAGCACCGGCUAACUUCGUGCCAGCAGCCGCGGUAAUAC